UCCUGGUUUCCCAGGCAGUCUCACCAGAGUGCCCCCUCACGGGGUUGCAACUGGCAACAGGAGUUGCGCUCGUUAAAGGACUUAACCCAACAUCUCACGACACGAGCUGACGACAGCCAUGCAGCAUCUGUGCAAAUGUUCAAGCUUUCGCUUGAAAAACCCUGUUUCUAGGGCGGUCAUAAGCAUGUCAAGCCUAGGUAAGGUUCCUCGCGUAGUGUCGAAUUAAACCACAUGUUCCACCGCUUGUGCGGACCCCCGUCAAUUCCUUUGAGUUUUAAUCUUGCGACCGUACUCCCCAGGCGGUCAACUUCACGCGUUAGCUGCGGUACUGAGAACUUGCGCUCCCAACACCUAGUUGACAUCGUUUAGGGCGUGGACUAC
rnacentral:misc_RNA from 1 species